rnacentral:tRNA from 2 species
GCCAUUAGCUCAGCUGGUAGAGCAUCUGACUUUUAAUCAGAGGGUCAGAGGUUCGAAUCCUCUAUGGC